rnacentral:rRNA from 1 species
AGUGAACGCUGGCGGUAGGCCUAACACAUGCAAGUCGAACGGCAGCACAGUAAGAGCUUGCUCUUACGGGUGGCGAGUGGCGGACGGGUGAGGAAUACAUCGGAAUCUACUUUUUCGUGGGGGAUAACGUAGGGAAACUUACGCUAAUACCGCAUACGACCUACGGGUGAAAGCAGGGGAUCUUCGGACCUUGCGCGAUUGAAUGAGCCGAUGUCGGAUUAGCUAGUUGGCGGGGUAAAGGCCCACCAAGGCGACGAUCCGUAGCUGGUCUGAGAGGAUGAUCGGCCACACUGGACCUGAGACACGGUCCAGACUCCGACGGGAGGCAGCAGUGGGGAUUAUUGGACAAUGGGCGCAAGCCUGAGCCAGCCAUACCGCGUGGGUGAAGAAGGCCUUCGGGUUGUAAAGCCCUUUUGUUGGGAAAGAAAAGCAGCAGGUUAAUACCCCGCUAUUCUGACGGUACCCAAAGAAUAAGCACCGGCUAACUUCGU